UAGGGUUUCGGCGGCCCUGCCCCACUGCCUGGGGUGCCUGCCUAAGUCACUCAUAACCAAAGCGCGUGGCUGCCGGGCCCCGCCCUCGGUGCAUUGUUUCUCCCAGCGGCCCUGUCCAUACAUGCCUCACUUUUCUUUACAGACGAGGAGACCGGGGCACCGAGUGGCCUGGCAAGAGCUGUGAAGCCUCGGGAGUUGGAGCUAGAGCCGGAGUGCUCUCCAGAGAGGUGUGGCUGAGGUCCCCAGCUCUUUGGCCCACCCGCUCCCCUCCACUCAGCCUGCCUGCGGCCUCCGCAGGUGCAGAAACUCUCUGCGGCCACCAGGUGGAGCUGCAGCACCAUGGACGCUCAGAUCUGGCCUCUCCAGUGUCUCUGGGAAGACUCCGGAAGUUACUCCCGAGCCCACCAGCUCCAGGGGACCUCCUGCCCUAAUACCAAGCUUCCAAGCCGCCCAGCGCCCCUCACCCCAAUCUGGGGAGGACCCUCCACUCCCCAGGACGGGAUCCAGGCCUCCUCUGACCUCACACACAUCACACACAGAUGCACGCAGCUGCACCUCAUCCUGGACCGCGCGGCCCGCACCUGCACCCCGCCUACACGCGCCCUGGGGGAGCUCAGUACGCCCUGUGCUGCAUUCCGGAGUUGGCCCCUCUGCUGGCCGCACCACGCGAACAUGUCUGGGGGUUCUCAGCUUCCUCGCCCCACCCGAAGGGCACCCCCGCCCGCUGUCCCCAGGCUGUCCAAGCCUGCACCGGCACCGACCCUGUGUUCCUCCUUUCACCCCGCCUCCUGAGGGUGCCCCGAACCCAGGUUCCUCCUCACCCCCUCUCCAGGCCGGC
rnacentral:lncRNA from 1 species